AGAAAACAUUAAGGACACCCCUCUACCCUCACCAUCAUCCUACCAUCAGACUGGAUAGAAAACAUUAAGGACACCCCUCUACCCUCACCAUCAUCCUACCAUCAGACUGGAUAGAAAACAUUAAGGACACCCCUCUACCCUCACCAUCCUACCAUCAGACUGAAUAGAAAACAUUAAGGACACCCCUCUACCCUCACCAUCCUCCCAACUCUCGGCUGCUUCUCGUGUAUUUUUGUCUGUCCAUGGAGAGAGCUAGAGAACUGUUGACCGCAUCUGAAAUGGCACCCUGUUCCCUAUCAAGUGCACUACUGCCCUAAGGGCCCCGGUUAAAAGUAGGGGCCUACAGUAUUUAGAGAAUAGGUUGCCAUUUGGGAACAUUCCUGAUGUAAAAUGUUUCUAUCCCCUCCUCUCUACUGCGUCUGUAUCUUGUAAAAACAGUUUCCUCAUCCUGCUGUGCCCUCGAAUUUUGACGGAUUCAUGCUUACACACACACACACACAGGCAUGCAAUAACGUGUACAUACAGAUGUACACACAUGCAUGUAGCACGUUACACACACACACACACACACAUGCAGAAACACACACUGAACAAUGUUAGAUUUUUCUGGGAUAAUUCUGGUGGUAAUAAUGUCAAUUUUUAUUUUUAUAUAUAUUUUUUAGCAUAAUGUCAUUACUCGUUAUGUAUUGUUUUAAAGCGAUGCGCUGUCAAUUUUCCUCCCAAAUUUGAAGAUGUCAUAUGAAAGGAUGUCCAAGUAACUUCUGGUGUCAAGGGAUGAUGUCCUGUUGUUGAGUCUAAGACAACUCCCAUAACGGGUGCUUCACGGUGUUCUGAACAGUCCGUGUGUCAAGGGAUGAUGUCCUGUUGUUGAGUCUAAGACAACUCCCAUAACGGGUGCUUCACGGUGUUCUGAACAGUCUGUGUGUCAAGGGAUGAUGUCCUGUUGUUGAGUCUAAGACAACUCCCAUAACGGGUGCUUCACGGUGUUCUGAACAGUCUGUGUGUCAAGGGAUGAUGUCCUGUUGUUGAGUCUAAGACAACUCCCAUAACGGGUGCUUCACGGUGUUCUGAACAGUCCGUGUGUCAAGGGAUGAUGUCCUGUUGUUGAGUCUAAGACAACUCCCAUAACGGGUGCUUCACGGUGUUCUGAACAGUCCGUGUGUCAAGGUUGUUACUGGUUCACAUUCUGAACCUUAUUGCCAAGGGUUACUUUAUUGUUUAAUACUUUUUGGGACACAUGGAGUGUAAAAUGGACAAGCCACUACUGGUUUGAUAACACUCUGGUUCCCAGAUUGCUUUAUGAAAGGAUGUCAGUGUAACUAUUGGGGCUCAGGUGAAACAGGUGUGGGGUUAACAUCUUUUGGACAAAUGGCCACAAUUUCCACCGUCGUAAUUCCCCUGUAUAAAACGCAUUGGUGUGUUUUCCUGCUCAUGCCACGUGUUGCUCACCCAGGGCUGUUUUCUGUCUGUUUCCUGGAUCUUGGUAGCAGGUCUGUUUCCUGGAUCUUGGUAGCAGGUCUGUUUCCUGGAUCUUGGAAGCAGGUCUGUUUCCUGGAUCUUGGAAGCAGGUCUGUUUCCUGGAUCUUGGUAGCAGGUCUGUGCUCUCUUGCCAACUUCUUAUGUAAUUGUCAUGCUAAAUGCUGACCGUGGAGUAGGCAAAAGCACAAACAGACCUGGGACCAGGCUAAUAUCUUGGCGCUGAAGUCUAUGAUGACUAUGCCACCUGAUGUACGUACAGCUCUAGAUUCUUCCUCUGGUCUCCAAUGCCUGUCUAGUAUGUACUGCUUUCUCAGCUUUGCUCGCAAGUCCAACCUCUCCAAACACCUGCUUAGACGUCAUAAACCUAAAUGAUAAUGAUGUAUAUUAACAUAACACCUUUUAUGAAACUCUGUUACUCUCUUCCUCUGGUCUCAUCCAGUGCCUGUCUAGUAUGUACAGCUCUAGAUUCUUCCUCUGGUCUCUCCAAUGCCUGUCUAGUACGUACAGCUCUAGAUUCUUCCUCUGGUCUCAUCCAGUGCCGGGUAGAUUAUAGUUAUAAAAUAUCCCCCUCCUUGUAUACUGUCAGGUAGACCCAGCUCUAGAAUUACCCCCAAGGUGCUGUCUCUUCUUCGUUCUCCUUUAGAUACGGC